rnacentral:rRNA from 1 species
UACGAAGGGGGCUAGCGUUGCUCGGAAUCACUGGGCGUAAAGCGCACGUAGGCGGAUUGUUAAGUCAGGGGUGAAAUCCUGGAGCUCGACUCCAGAACUGCCUUUGAUACUGGCGAUCUUGAGUCCGGGAGAGGUGAGUGGAACUGCGAGUGUAGAGGUGAAAUUCGUAGAUAUUCGCAAGAACACCAGUGGCGAAGGCGGCUCACUGGCCCGGUACUGACGCUGAGGUGCGAAAGCGUGGGGAGCAAACAGG